GUCGCAGUUUCAGUUUCAUCCCUCUUACAAAACAGCUUAAGCUUCGGCCGUUCAUCCACCGGAUCACUUUAAAACCACCACCCCCAUUGUUGUCAGUCAGCUUUGCUGUUCUUCCUCUCUAGGCUCGAUGUUUUCGUUCACCAGUCACCGCUUUCAAGCCAUUGCUGUUGUUAUUUAGAUUGAACUGAAGGAGCCCCAAUAGCUACUUACCCCUCUCCCUCGCUUUUUUCUGUCGAAAUCGUUCUCUUUCAGAGCUUCACGAUCUUCAUCCACCCAAAAACUUGUCCGAUUGAAUGAAGUAAAUUUUAUCAGUGAUUCGAUUAUUUCCCCUAUCCAAGUCCUAAUAAACUGAGAUAAACUCUCUUCAAACUAACUGUUUGUUUGUAGACAUGCUUUGUUUAGUUGGGUUUUGUUUCUAAAUAUGAUUCGUUUA
rnacentral:misc_RNA from 1 species